UUUCCGUAGGUGAACCUGCGGAAGGAUCAUUGUCGAUGCCUUACAUGCAGUCCAACACGUGAAUCAGUUUGAAUACAUAUGGUUGGCUUGAGGUGUUCUACACCUCGGCUUACCUCUUGGUUCAGAGGAAGACGACGAAGUGCGUCCUCCUUUGUGCCAAAACUCAAACCCCGGCGCUGAAUGCGUCAAGGAAUUUAAAUUUUGCUCUGAGCACACCUGCAUGGCACCGGAGACGGUUUUCGUGCGUGUUGUGUUUUGACACAUGAUAUAGAAUGACUCUCGGCAACGGAUAUCUAGGCUCUU
rnacentral:misc_RNA from 1 species